UCAGCAUAGAUAGGGGCAAAUGAUUGGCA
rnacentral:piRNA from 1 species